GUGAGAAUCACCUGGGGAGCUUGUUAAAAUGCAGGCUCUGUUUCUGGGUCCCGGGUAGGGCUCUAGAUUCUGCAUCUCUAACAAGUUCUCAAGUGAUGCUGAU
rnacentral:pre_miRNA from 1 species